rnacentral:rRNA from 1 species
GGGGAAUUGUUCGCAAUGGGCGCAAGCCUGACGACGCAACGCCGCGUGGAGGAUGAAGAUUUUCGGAUCGUAAACUCCUGUCGAAUGGGACGAAUAGAUUGCGGGUGAACAGCCCGUGGUCCUGACGGUACCGUUAAAGGAAACCCCGGCUAACCCCGUGCCAGCAGCCGCGGUAAUACGUAGGUGACAAGCGUUGUCCGGAUUUACUGGGCGUAAAGAGCGCGCAGGCGGUCGAUCAAGUCGAGUGUGAAAGCCCCCGGCUCAACUGGGGAGGGUCAUUCAAUACUGAUCGACUCGAAGGCAGGAGAGGGUAGUGGAAUUCCCGGUGUAGUGGUGAAAUGCGUAGAUAUCGGGAGGAACACCAGUGGCGAAGGCGACUACCUGGCCUGUUCUUGACGCUGAGGCGCGAAAGCUAGGGGAGCAAA